AGCGAACGCUGGCGGCAGGCCUAACACAUGCAAGUCGAACGGGCACCUUCGGGUGUCAGUGGCAGACGGGUGAGUAACACGUGGGAACGUGCCCUUUGGUUCGGGACAACUCCGGGAAACUGGAGCUAAUACCGGAUACGCCCUUUUGGGGAAAGUUUUAUCGCCGAAGGAUCGGACCGCGUCUGAUUAGCUAGUUGGUGAGGUAACGGCUCACCAAGGCGACGAUCAGUAGCGGGUCUGAGAGGAUGAUCAGCCACACUGGGACUGAGACACGGCCCAGACUCCUACGGGAGGCAGCAGUGGGGAAUAUUGGACAAUGGGCGCAAGCCUGAUCCAGCAAUGCCGCGUGGGUGAAGAAGGUCUUCGGAUCGUAAAGCCCUUUCGGCGGGGACGAUGAUGACGGUACCCGCAGAAGAAGCCCCGGCUAACUUCGUGCCAGCCGCCGCGGUAAGAC
rnacentral:rRNA from 1 species